AGAGGUCUCAAGCGUUGUUCGGAAUCACUGGGCGUAAAGGGUGCGUAGGCUGCGCCGUAAGUCAGAUGUGAAAGCUCAGGGCUCAACCCUGAAAUUGCAUCCGAUACUGCGGUGCUUGAGAAAUGAAGGGGAGUCUAGAAUUUUCGGUGUAGCAGUGAAAUGCGUAGAUAUCGAAAGGAAUACCAAAGGCGAAGGCAGGACUCUGGGCAUUUUCUGACGCUGAUGCACGAAGGCCAGGGUAGCGAACGGGAUUAGAUACCCCGGUAGUCCUGGCAGUAAACGGUGCACGUUUGGUGUGGGAGGAUUCGACCCCUUCCGUGCCGGAGCUAACGCGUUAAACGUGCCGCCUGGGAAGUACGGUCGCAAGAUUA
rnacentral:rRNA from 1 species